AGUGAACGCUGGCGGCGUGCCUAAUACAUGCAAGUCGAACGGAGAUUAAGUAGCUUGCUAUUUAAUCUUAGUGGCGCACGGGUGAGUAAUAUAUAGCUAACUUGCCCAUUACUAAGGGACAACAGUUGGAAACGACUGCUAAUACCUUAUACUCCGUAUCUAUAUAAGUAGAUACGGGAAAGUUUUUCGGUAAUGGAUAGGGCUAUAUCGUAUCAGCUAGUUGGUAAGGUAAUGGCUUACCAAGGCUAUGACGCGUAACUGGUCUGAGAGGAUGAUCAGUCACUGGAAAAGAGAGACGGGCCCAACACCCCCGGGGGGGGCAGGUAGGGAAAAUUGUGCUAUGGGGGGAAACCCGAGAAGCCAACACCCCGUGUGGAGGAAAACUUUUUGGGGAGUAAAAACCUUUUUUUGUGAAAAAAAUUUAACGGUACCCAAAAAAAAAACACCGGGUAACUCCGU
rnacentral:rRNA from 1 species